AGGUUAGGCGCUGUAAUCAGUAUUAACGAAUCGUCCCGGUGCUCAGUAUUACGAACAGCCCCAACAUCAACUGUGCGCAUUAUUGCAUAUGAUCGACAAAAAUAGACAUCACACAGCAAAAAGUAAACACAAAGGGUGCUUUCCAACAAGAGUGCCACACUGUAACACAGUGUCACAUAGAGAGACACAGUGUAACACAGUUGCGUAGUCUAAUUGAAACAAAUAAGUUAUCAAACACGGUCACUAGAGUGCGUAAAAGACUGUGACCUAGUAAAAGACAGAUUCAAAUUGAAUUAGAAAUUUAGCCGUAGAAAAUCCAGAUCAAGACCCGUUAAAUCGGAUUAUUAUUUUGCAAACAAAAGUAUAUUUUCAAAUAUGAAUAUUUGACAAGCGGAAAUAGAAGACAUCGGAUUGAUAAUUAUACCAAAAUUGUCGUUUCGUGGACUGAACAAGAAUUUAAAGAACAUUUGCGGUUAUCAAGAUGCACAGCAUUACAUUUAAUUGAUAAAUUUGAACAGUCCGAACAUAUGCCGAAACAGACAUUUGGGAUGAAACCAAUUUCAGCCAAACUAAGCUUCUUACUUUUCUUGUGGUUUAUGUCAAACACUGAGCCCCUGCGAAUAAUAUCUGACAGAUUUGAUAUUUCCAUCUCUUCCGUAUUUCGAAUUUUACGUAGAGUGCAGAAUUGACUACUAACAAAGAUGAAUAAUACAAUUAGAUGGCCACAGAAAGAUUAUAUUGCUGUACGUGAAGAUUUUAGAGCUAAAAAAGGUAUUAACAAUGUAAUUGGGGCAAUUGAUGGAACAACA